rnacentral:rRNA from 1 species
UACAGAGGUCCCAAGCGUUGUUCGGAUUCAUUGGGCGUAAAGGGUGCGUAGGCGGCGCGGUAAGUCGGGUGUGAAAUCUCGGGGCUUAACUCCGAAACUGCAUUCGAUACUGCCGUGCUUGAGGACUGGAGAGGAGACUGGAAUUUACGGUGUAGCGGUGAAAUGCGUAGAUAUCGUAAGGAAGGCCGGUGGCGAAGGCGGCGCUCUGGAACAUUUCUGACGCUGAGGCUCGAAAGCGUGGGGAGCAAACAGG